GAUGAACGCUGGCGGCGUGCUUAAUACAUGCAAGUCGAGCGAAAAGACGAGGAGCUUGCUCCUUUGACGUUAGGGGCGGACGGGUGAGAAACACGUGGAUACCCUCCUUAUAAGACUGGGAUAACUUCGGGAAACCGGCGCUAAUCCCGGAUAAUAUAUUGAACCGCAUGGUUCAUUAGUGAAAGACGGUUUUGCUGUAACUUCUAGAUGGAUCCGCGCCGCAUUAGCUAGUUGGUAAGGUAACGGCUUACCAAGGCAACGAUGCGUAGCCGACCUGAGAGGGUGAUCGGCCACACUGGAACUGAGACACGGCCCAGACUCCUACGGGAGGCAGCAGUAGGGAAUCUUCCGCAAUGGGCGAAAGCCUGACGGAGCAACGCCGCGUGAGUGAUGAAGGUCUUCGGAUCGUAAAACUCUGUUAUUAGGGAAGAACAAAUGUGUAAGUAACUAUGCACGUCUUGACGGUACCUAAUCAGAAAGCCACGGCUAACUACGUG
rnacentral:rRNA from 1 species